CCGCUGCAGAUGAAGUGUGCUUCAGCUGGAAAUGCUGCCUUCCUUGUCCCAGUAUGGCCACGCUGUGCCAGCUGGACCAGCAAGGAUAUGGCGUCUUUGUUGUAAGAGGGAUGACACGAAGCAUCUAACUACUCUGCCAUCCUGGACCGCCUCUGCUGAUGACUUUUUGGUUUAGAGCAAUUUAUCAUCCCGCCAGAAAAUACAAAAUGUUCAUCUUGUCACACCCCACUAUGUAACAAAUAGUAUUUUUAAAACAAGAAAAAAGAGAGAGAUGUACUUAGAAGUAAAGAUGUUCGUUGCUUCUCAGCCAGAUCACUUCAGUAUCCACUUCCCCUAAGUAAAUCAUGAAUUAAUUAUUAUAAUAAAUAUCACCAAGAACA